rnacentral:tmRNA from 1 species
GGGGGCGAAACGGUUUCGACGGGAAUCGUGAAGCUCAAGAGGCAUGCCGAGGUCGUCACGUUCCUCGUUAAACACGUGGCACAAUACAACUGCCAACACUGAAUUGGCUCUCGCUGCUUAAUUAAGCAGUGCGUCUCCUCUCGCGAGCCCGCGCGCGGGAACGAGGCGUCGACUCAGCGGGAUAAGUUCCGGGGCCGCCUGAACCCGGGAAUGAAAAUUUAGGGCUGGCUGACCUUCACUCUUGCCGGUUCAUAAGAAGGUUGGCGAGAUUCUUCUCCGGCGGCGCAGGCUGCCGUGAAAGAUGUGAAACGGCUAAGCAUGUAGGCUUUUGAAGCGGAUCAUUUUCGGACGCGGGUUCGACUCCCGCCGCCUCCACCA